GACAGAGGGUGCAAACGUUGCUCGGAAUUACUGGGCGUAAAGCGCGUGUAGGUGGUCACCCCAGUCGGAUGUGAAAGCCCAGGGCUCAACCCUGGACGUGCAUACGAUACUAGGUGGCUGGAGUCUCGGAGAGGAUAGCGGAAUUCCCGGUGUAGAGGUGAAAUUCGUAGAUAUCGGGGAGGAACACCAGUGGCGAAGGCGGCUAUCUGGACGAGUACUGACACUGAGACGCGAAAGCAUGGGGAGCAAACAGG
rnacentral:rRNA from 1 species